rnacentral:rRNA from 1 species
UACAGAGGUCUCAAGCGUUGUUCGGAUUCAUUGGGCGUAAAGAGCGUGUAGGCGGCCUGAUAAGUCGGCUGUGAAAGUCAAGGGCUCAACCCUUGAAUGCCGGCCGAUACUGUCAGGCUAGAGUCCGGAAGAGGCGAGUGGAAUUCCUGGUGUAGCGGUGAAAUGCGCAGAUAUCAGGAGGAACACCUAUGGCGAAGGCAGCUCGCUGGGACGGUACUGACGCUGAGACGCGAAAGCGUAGGGAGCGAACAGG